rnacentral:misc_RNA from 1 species
GCAUUUAUAAAUAAAAAGUGAAUUUCUAAACAUGAGAAACGAUCAACGUAACGUUUAAGUAAGGGGAAACACACAAUGCAACCCAACUAUACAGGAGCAUUACUGGUUUACUUAAACCAUCGCCGCACUAGAGGGUGAAAGGGAAUAAUACGAGUAAAUUCCCAGAUAAUAUAUCUAUAUAUGCAACAUUUUACAAGAAUUUUUCUAUGGAGGUGGUAAGUGUUGAUUUAGGAACUGCACCAAUGAUUGCAUCUUUCUUCUCUCCAUUCUUGAAUAUCAUCACGGUUGGGAUGCUUCGGAUUCCAAAUUCGGUUGCAAUGGAAGGACUUUCAUCUGUGUUCAGCUUUAAGCAUGUAAGCUUGCCAACAUAUUCCUUCGCUAGUUCAUCAAUGACGGGGUGGAUCAUUCGGCAUGGACCACACCACGGAGCCCAAAAUUCAACCAGUACAGGUACAGUAGACUCAACUACAAGUGUCUUCCAUGUUUUAUCACUAACAGUAGCCACUUCCACGGCGGUAUCCUGAGCUUCGCAAACGACUCGUCCUCCUCGGGGAAUGAUUUUAGAGCAUGAGCUAGUGGAUACAGAUGAGCGAAUUGGCUGGAUCUUAAGGCCGCUGAAUUGAGAGAAGCUAACAGAGAAACGAGGACCGGAGAAGGAAUAACCGGCGACCUGAGCAAGCGAUGACGACGGCAGCGCCGAUGCGCGUGGGACUGUAAUGGUUUCCAACACAGCAGCCAUGGAAAGAGAAGAGAGAGAUAGAGAGUGUGUGUUAUAGGACAAAGUUUUGCAUCUGUUUGCCACAUUUUAAGAAAGAAUACUUACAGAGCCACAGCCACCCACCCCAUGAAGGGAACAUCACAAAUUCUGAGACAGAAAUAGCCGGUGGUAAAAAGCCCUUGAAGGAGGCCUGCAAUUUUCUUUAAAAAACAAAUACU